rnacentral:rRNA from 1 species
AUUGAACGCUGGUGGCAGGCCUAACACAUGCAAGUCGAACGAGUGGCGGACGGGUGAGUAGUGUCUGGGAAACUGCCUGAUGGAGGGGGAUAACUACUGGAAACGGUAGCUAAUACCGCAUACCAUCGGAUCUGCCCAGAUGGGAUUAGGUUGUGUGGGGGGUAACGGCUCAUCAAGGCGACGAUCCCUAGCUGGUCUGCGAGGAUGACCAGCCACACGGGAACUGAAACACGGUCCAGACUCCUACGGGAGGCAGCAGGUGGGAAUAUUGCACAAGGGGCGCAAGCCUGAUGCAGCCAUGCCGCUUGUAUGAAGAAGGCCUUCGGGUUGUAAAGUACUUUCUGCGGGGAGGCGUUACCCGCAGAAGAAGCACCGGCUAACUCCGUGCCAGCAGCCGCGGUAAUUC